CUUACGGGGGCUGCAGUGGGGAAUAUUGGACAAUGGGCGAAAGCCUGAUCCAGCCAUGCCGCGUGUGUGAAGAAGGCCUUCGGGUUGUAAAGCACUUUCAGUGGGGAAGAAAGCCUUGGGGCUAAUACCCUCGAGGAAGGACAUCACCCACAGAAGAAGCACCGGCUAACUCCGUGCCAGCAGCCGCGGUAAUACGGAGGGUGCGAGCGUUAAUCGGAAUUACUGGGCGUAAAGCGCGCGUAGGCGGUCUGAUAAGCCGGUUGUGAAAGCCCCGGGCUCAACCUGGGAACGGCAUCCGGAACUGUCAGGCUAGAGUGCAGGAGAGGAAGGUAGAAUUCCCGGUGUAGCGGUGAAAUGCGUAGAGAUCGGGAGGAAUACCAGUGGCGAAGGCGGCCUUCUGGACUGACACUGACGCUGAGGUGCGAAAGCGUGGGUAGCAAACAGGAUUAGAUACCCCAGUAGUC
rnacentral:rRNA from 1 species